rnacentral:tRNA from 1 species
CGUUUUAGAAACAUUCAGGGCCAACAGUUUCAGGAUUGUUGAGCUCCAUUGGCGGGAUUUCGCCGUCUUCGUUUCUCUUUCUUCGCGGACGAACACGCGCCAGGGGCUGAGCGCUGUGCGAUGCAUCGACUUCACGUCAGGUGCGCGCCGGCAUGUCUCUCGUGUUAGGGGCUUGUAGCUCAGUUGGUUAGAGCGCGCGCUUGAUAAGCGUGAGGUCGGAAGUUCAAGUCUUCCCAGGCCCACCAUUUUGAUCGAGUGCGGAGCAUUCGUCUUCUGGUACGGGGCCAUAGCUCAGCUGGGAGAGCGCGUGCUUUGCAAGCAUGAGGUCGUCGGUUCGAUCCCGUCUGGCUCCACCAGAUGGAAUUGAAGCUCGAGAAUGCGCCUUGUGCAGCUAGCUCUGUUCAUUUCGUCCGCGAAACAUCACUUCGCACUCAUUGGUCCGGAUGGACGGUGACGUGCGUGUUUUCUGACAUCGUAAAGAGGAGAUCGAUCCGAGUUUGGAUCCAGCGAAGCAAUUCGCGGGUACCAUUCCUAAUCUCCAGAUCGUUUUCGGCGCUCGCGCAUCGCAGUUCAUCGCAAGAUGAGUGAGGUGAGCGAGUUGUAAAACGAUCUUUGUAGCGAAGCUUGACCGCCUCGCUAUCGGGCCGAUCUUACGAAGCAAGCUGGUCUUUCUAGUCAAUGUCCGGCUGUGCAAUCGCAUCUUCGAGGGUGCGUGCCUGAGACUUCGGUCUUUUGGGCAGUUGCGCAGACAACAUUCUGCCGAGUGUGUGGACAUUGAUAAUGAGAGCAAUCAAGUGCCUUAAGGGUGUUCGGUG